UACGAAGGUGGCAAGCGUUGUUCGGAUUUACUGGGCGUACAGGGAGCGUAGGCGGUUGGGUAAGCCCUCCGUGAAAUCUCCGGGCCUAACCCGGAAAGUGCGGAGGGGACUGCUCGGCUAGAGGAUGGGAGAGGAGCGCGGAAUUCCCGGUGUAGCGGUGAAAUGCGUAGAGAUCGGGAGGAAGGCCGGUGGCGAAGGCGGCGCCCUGGAACAUUUCUGACGCUGAGGCUCGAAAGCGUGGGGAGCAAACAGGAUUAGAUACCCUGGUAGUCCCUGAGCGGGCU
rnacentral:rRNA from 1 species